rnacentral:rRNA from 1 species
UACGGGGGGGGGCAAGCGUUGUUCGGAAUUACUGGGCGUAAAGGGCUCGUAGGCGGCCAACUAAGUCAGACGUGAAAUCCCCUCGGCUUAACCGGGGGAACUGCGUCUGAUACUGGAUGGCUUGAGAUUGGGAGAGGGAUGCGGAAUUCCAGGUGUAGCGGUAGAAAUGCGUAGAUAUCUGGAGGAACACCGGUGGCGAAGGCGGCAUCCUGGACCAACACUGACGCUGAGGAGCGAAAGGCCAGGGGAGCAAAGCGGG